GGUGCGAGGUGCACCGGCCAUUGCCAUGGUGGCCGCACUUGGCUUGGCUUCUGAGCUGACGCUGGUCAAGCUGCCUGGGAGCCGCCCAGAAUUGGCUGCCUACGUACGCAGCCGGCUGGAGUACCUCAAGACAUCACGCCCCACGGCAGUAAACCUGGCAAACAUGGCUGCUCAUUUUGAGAAGAUGGCCGAUGCGCUCACCAAGCAAGAAGGACUGUCCGUGGAAGCCAUGCGUGAUGCGAUAUGUGCGGAGG
rnacentral:lncRNA from 1 species